GUCCAGUUGAUGAGUCCUGAAUAGGAUGAAAUACGUGUCCUGGAU
rnacentral:hammerhead_ribozyme from 1 species